rnacentral:rRNA from 1 species
GAUGAACGCUAGCGGCAGGCCUAACACAUGCAAGUCGAGGGGUAGAAGGAGCCUGCUCCUUUGAGACCGGCGCACGGGUGCGUAACGCGUAUGCAAUCUACCUUUUACAGAGGGAUAACCCAGAGAAGUUUGGAUUAAUACCUCAUAGUAUAUAUCAUUCGCAUGUUUGGUAUAUUAAAGUUCCAACGGUAAAAGAUGAGCAUGCGUCCCAUUAGUUAGUUGGUAAGGUAACGGCUUACCAAGACGAUGAUGGGUAGGGGUCCUGAGAGUGAGAUCCCCCACACUGGUACUGAGAUACGGACCAGACUCCUACGGGAGGCAGCAGUGAGGAAUAUUGGUCAAUGGACGCAAGUCUGAACCAGCCAUGCCGCGUGCAGGAAGACGGUCCUAUGGAUUGUAAACUGCUUUUGUACGGGAAGAAACACUCCUACGUGUAGGAGCCUGACGGUACCGUAAGAAUAAGGAUCGGCUAACUCCGUGCCAGCCGCCGCAGUAA